AAUUCCCAGCACGGCUGAGACUGAUCCCAAAGACUCUGAAACCACCUGCGAGCUGCCAGGCUCUGUCAGCAGCUGUGGAUCAGAGCCACUGUCCCCACAGAGCCUGCUCAGGCUGGGGCAGUUCUGCCUCAUCAGCCACUGACAGGAUGCUGGGAAUUGCCAAUACAGUGGGAAUGGGGAUGGCAAACAUCACAGGUGUGGAGUAUUCCAAGGGGGAAGCUGGAGAGGCAGCACCCAGGACUGUUCAGGAGGCAGCAGGGCUGGGUCCUGGCAAAGGGAGAACAGACCCAAGGGAAUAACUCCACCAUUUCCCAGGGCUCAGGGUGUGCCUGCCUCCCUCAGGCUACUCUUGCCUAAGGUUCAUCAUGGGAGAAAGGGAAAACACCACAGGGAGCAAAGUCCACUUAAUAUCUGGCAGUCUAAUAGCUGAGGUCAUGUAAGUGAUACAGAACCCUCUAUUUAGGGAUGCAAUCAAAACUAUCACGCAAAAACUUCCUAUGUGUGUCCUCUCCUCUGGUGCCAUGCUCACCUCCACAAUGUCCCUGUGGGGUUCUGGGGACUCAGACUGGCCUGGAGUGCACAGGCCCCUCAGCCAGAGUCACAGAGGGGUGGGGGAGUCACAGAGAGAGGGGAGAGUCACAGUGGGUCACCAGUGUCCUCAGCCCUUUGCUGUGAGGAAUCUGAUGUUCAGGGUGGGGAUUUUUCUGUCUCCCUUUGGGACACCCUGAAGCAUUACAGCCCCUGGGUAGGCAAGGAUAGGUUGGUGUCUUGGUUUAAAAAGACAGGUGUCUGCUAAGAAGGCAGGAGCUUUCCUUGAAAUGGAAAAUGUAAACCCCCUCCUUCCAAAUCACCAUUUUGAAAUUAAGGGGCUCUCAGGCAAAGAUAUGGGAAUAGGAAUAACAGUUCUUUAUUAGGAAAAUUAAAAAAAAAGCAAUAGUACAAACAGCAAAAAAAAAAAAAAAAAACCACUGCCAGAGUCAGAACAGGAGCCGACCCCCUGUGGGUCAGGGUGGUGGCACAGUCCCAUCCCAUGGGGGCUCAGCCCUCCUGCAGUGCCAGCUGUGCUUCUGCUGGAGCAGGGAUCCUGCACAAGGGGGGAGUUUUCCUCUGGAGCUCCAGGACUGCUGGAGGUGGGCCUGCUCUUCCUCUGGGAAUGCAGGGCAGGAGAAAGCUGCUCCUCUGGGAAUGCAGUGGGCAAAGGCUGCUGGGCUGUUCCAGGCUCAGAUUGGAUCCAGCUGGAUUUAAAUCUACACUGGGACUUCACCAAUGAUGUUCCAUCCUGGGCUGCAGACGUCUCACUGGUCAGGAGCUGGGCUGUGUGGGGACCAGACCAAUCAGCAGAUGAGUCCCAGGAGUUUUGAACUCCCGAUAUAAGAACACUCUCAACAAUAAAACAUGCUGCUGUCAGGAGGAGCUUUGAGGUGUGUGUGUGUUAUCCUGAUCUCCAACCACCGACCCCACAGAACACAUGGAUUUUGACGUAAUAAGUGGUGAUCCCAACAUGAUAUGACUCAGCCAGACCUUGUGGGCACAAGGCGAGGAGACAGGCUGGUGUGCAAACAGAGCCACUGGAGAGACCAGUGGUAAAGCUGAAGGAAUAAUCAAAAGGUGUGCGUGGAGAGCCACCAAACCAGCAGAAAGCUAAGAAAAACUCCACUGAAAAGAAUAGGUGGAUCUGUCUCUGUGGAGAAACAUUUUGCGAUGCAGAUAAACAUGGAGACUUUGUCCAGAAGAAGCCCUCCAAGUCCUCAUUGUGAGAAAGAGACCCCUCAGCGACAGCAGACCCUGGGUAAUGGUAAAGUAUGUAGGCAGUUGUACAUAUUUUGUUCUUGUUAUAGUUGCUGGAAAGAAGAAAGGGGGAGAAGAGGGGUGGAUGUACAUCCCUCUCAAUGGUCUUGAGUGUUCUCAUGUUCUCAUAUUUUUCUCAUGUCUUUCAAUCAAUUUACCACAAAACAACAAAUUGUUUUUCCUGUUUACAAAUUGUUUUCCUAGUAGUUGGGAUCUUUCUAACAGUUCUAAGGGUUAAAUGGUUAAGUGUUUUUAGUGUUAAAUUGUAACCCUGUAACUUCUAAGCAAAUAGCCUGUGACAUGCUGGCCUGAGUUCUCGCCCAGCAGCUCCUAGAGGUGAGUGCUGCAGCUCCAGUGAUACAUGAGAAACAUCCCUAACUGAGAAACCUCCCUUUGUCAGAUUGAGUGGAACACUCGUGUUGUCUUUGUCAUCCUAUCAGGUAACAAAGAACACUUAUACAUUUUUUUAUGAAACCAAAAGGGUGAGUUGUAGCAUUCCAGUCCCUGGGUGGGCAAGGAUAAGAUGGAUUUAAAUCAACACAGGGACUUCACCUAUCACAUUCCGUCCUGGGCUGCAGUGUCUUAGGUCAGAAAUGUAAGAUGUGUCUGGGGGUGUGUGUUCUAUUGCCAUCUGUUAGAGAUGAGGCAGUUAUCUUCUGUUAAUUGGGCCACCUGUUAAAACCAGGUGGGGAAGUUUUCUUUAUCUCUCCCACAGCCAAUCCUCCCUCCAGGAGAUCUCUGCUGUCCAUGGCCACUGAGUGUCCCUGCAUGGCUGAUCAAAUUCCAUCAUCCCAGGGGGAGAUGCUGUGCCCAGGGCAGGAGCCAAGCAUUCCUACCUGGAUCCAAUCUGAGCCUGGAACAGCCCAGCAGCCUUUGCCCACUGCAUUCCCAGAGGAGCAGCUUUCUCCUGCCCUGC